AUGAUGAAUCCCUGCCUUGACCACUGCAAGUCACCGCCACAGACCAGGAGGAGCUGGUGCAUCAGGAAAAUCACGCAGCCAUCAGGACACAGGCUCUGGGACGUCGAGCAUCAUUCUCUCCUGGCUGAAAAUGACAACUAUGACUCUUCAUCGUCCUCCUUCUCUGAGGCUGGUGUGGCUGACAGGGUCUGGUUCAUUCUUGACGGCUGCAGCAUGAUCUGUGCCGUCAUGACAUGGCUUCUGGUCACCUAUGCAGACUUCAUGGUGACUUUUUUCAUGCCUUCCAAAGAUUUCUGGUACUCUGUGGUCAAUGGGGUCAUAUUUAACUGCUUGGCUAUGCUCGCCCUGUUGUCCCACCUGAGAACCAUGCUCACUGAUCCCUGGGAAGUACUCAAAGGAAACGCUUCAAAAGAAUACAUGGAGAGCCUGCAGCUGAAGCCCAGGAGGUGAUUUACAAGUGCCCCAAGUGCUGCUAUAUUAAACCAGAGUAUACUGGUCUAAUACCACCACUGCAGUAUUUGCAAAAGAUGUAUUCAGAAAAUGGAUUAUCACUGCCCGUGGGAGAACAACUGUGUAGGAAAAAAGAAUCAAAGGUUUUUUUGUGCUCUUCACUGUGUAUAUAGCUCUGUCUUCAGUCAAUGCUCUGAUCCUCUGUGGAUUGCAGUUUAUCUCCUGUGUCCAAGGCAGUGGACUAAAUGCAGUGAGUUUUUACCUCCAAUGACUGUAAUUCUGUUGAUCUUCCUGUGCCUUAAAAGUCUUCUGUUUUUCACUUUCACUGCAGUUAUGUUUGGCACCCACAUCCACUCUAUAAGCAACGAUGAGACGGAAAUUGAGCGAUUGAAAAGUGAGAAGCCCACAUGGGAGUGGAGGCUGCGAUGGGAAGGGAUGAAGUCUGUGCUUGGGGGAUCCCCCCUCACUCCUCUGGAUGAAUACCUUUGUCAGCUUCCACUUUAGGUGACUGCCCACGAGACCCAGAAAAGGUGGCCCAGAGUUCUCAGUGUGAGGCCUGGCUUGUCCGGCUGGAACUUGCUCACAGACUUCUACUCAUUUAUUUGGGGUCUGAAGGGGAUCAACAGCUCAUCUGUGACCAACAGGGCAACCGGAACCUAUACAAACCAACUACUUGCAGCAAGCAGAGUUUUAUAUAUUUCUAGUCACAGAUGGCAGAUUCUCCACACUGGAAGAGGUGCUCAGUCCCCACCUACAACAACGACGGAAAGGUGUGUGGCCAUGCAAAGAAGUCAAAUGUCAUGGCCUUCCUGCGGAGUUAGGAUUUUUGUUAAGAAUACUUCACGUUUUCUAAGUUGUCUGGGUUAUUACAUGGGUUGUUCAAAUCCUGUGUACUGAGCUGCUGUUUCCAAUCAUGAAGGAAAACAGUCAAUCCAGUGAACAGGGAUUCUCCGAGCAGUCAUUUCAGGGGGCUGCUGCUGACCCCCCACUCAGCAGUGCACUCUCCGGACCACAGCAGGGCAUUUACAUAGUAAGACGUUUUGGUGUCUGUUAGCUCUGAUGCUUUGCACUGAAGUCGCAAAAGAUCUGUGCACUGAACAGUGAAGGUGACUUCUGGCACACUCCCCACUGCCCUGGAAGAGACACCCUUUGACCCUCUCAGCAAUUCUCUGUGUGCACGUGUCUGUGCAUGUGUAUGCAUGUGUGUCUCAAAACUGCCAGUGUUGUUUAGGUAGUGUAACAUUUCCCAGCUGUGUACAGAAAACAAGCUAUCUUUUAGAAACUGAUGUUUCAGGGAAGAGGGGAGAGAGGCCGCGGGGUCCUCCCCGUGGUUACUAUGAAUGUAUUGCUAUCUUAGGACAUCUCGAUCCAAAGAACAGUCGUUCCUGUGCAGUCCUUCGUUACCCUCCUGCUUUAAUUUCUUAAAGAAAUCUUGAGUGCUUGAGGGCCUUGGAACUGAUUUUUUGUUGUUGUUGUUCCAGCCAAAUUAGCAGUGUCUAAAUAGCACCUGGGGAAGGGUAGAGCCUCAGUGACCUGAUCCAUUGGGCAGCUCGAUGCUGUUGGUGUAUGGGGCAGGAGAGGCAUCCCAAUUGGAGAGGCAGGGCCCAGCCCUUGGGCACCUCUGGGAAGGUGAGGGGAUUGUGAGGCAGCCAGCCCCUGGCAAGGGCAACUGUGUCACCAGCAGGCAGCGCUCAGGCUGGUAAUGGUCAGGAUGGCGUCCUCUUGUUGGACAUUUUUGUUAGCUUUUAUGUUUUCUUCUCUACCCACGGCACAGGUGAUAAAAUAGGAUCCUUGGUGUGCAGCUUAAACUUAUGCCAGAAAGCCAACAGCUCGCCUCCAUGGGGACUUGCCUUAACCUUGCCUGAUUUGUACAUUUUUUGCUGGAUGCAUCAAGAAGCAAUCUGUGACAAAGUCCGAGGAUCUUCCUUUAAGCAUGCCCUCCAUGCUAAGAGAAGUUGGCAUCUCCCUCCUGGGAACUGUUUUGCCUUUCUGCUCAUCUGCGAACUGUGUUUUGUUUUUAAUUACUCUGUACCCCAUCUGAAUCAGGGCUUCUACUGCUGCUGAUGCAAAGCCACAAAGGGACCUAUCUGAGCCACCGUCCUAGCCAAGAGCAAACCUGCAGGGGAUUUGGAAGUGGAUUCAGUCACCGCGGAAGCCUGUGCGCCAUUAGGGGAAGAAGUGCGUCACAGCCAGAGGGACAAAGCAUAGAUUGUGCGUGAUCCUGGAGAUGCGAGUUGCCAGAGACUGUUUUGCGUAUUCAUUUGCACAUGGUUGUCUGGGUUGGACAUGUGUAUGGGCUUCAGUGUGAGGCUUUCAAUAUGUAUAUACUGUUAUAAAUAAAAAAAUUAUCCAAGUGGCUGAA